rnacentral:rRNA from 1 species
ACACGACUACAUUAGACUACCCGCGUAGUCCUAGCCGUAAACGAUACUCGCUAGGUGUCGGCCACGGUGCGACCGUUGUCGGUGCCGUAGGGAAGCCGUGAAGCGAGCCACCUGGGAAGUACGGCCGCAAGGCUGAAACUUAAAGGAAUUGGCGGGGAGCACCACAACGGGUGGAGCUUGCGGUUUAAUUGGAUUCAACGCCGGAAAUCUUACCGGGACCGACAGCAACAUGAAGGCCAGGCUGAAGACUUUGCCGGAUUAGCUG